rnacentral:misc_RNA from 1 species
UACGUAGGUGACAAGCGUUGUCCGGAUUUAUUGGGCGUAAAGCGAGCGCAGGCGGUCUUUUAAGUAUGACGUGAAAGCCCACGGCUCAACCGUGGAGGGUCAUUGGAAACUGGAAGACUUGAAUGUAGAAGAGGUAAGUGGAAUUCCGUGUGUGGCGGUGAAAUGCGUAGAUAUAUGGAGGAACACCAGUGGCGAAGGGGACUUUCUGGUCUGUAAUUGACGCUGAGGCUCGAAAGCGUGGUGAGCAAACAGG